GCCAAAAUAGCUCAGAGGUAGAGCAGCUCACUCGUAAUGAGCAGGUCGAGGGUUCAACUCCCUCUUUUGGCU
rnacentral:tRNA from 1 species